rnacentral:rRNA from 1 species
AGAGUUUGAUCAUGGCUCAGGAUGAACGCUAGCGGCAGGCUUAAUACAUGCAAGUUGAGGGGCAGCAUGAUAUACGCAAGUAUAUUGAUGGCGACCGGCGGACGGGUGAGUAAAAGGUAGGAGACCUACCUCAUACAGGGGGAUAGCAUAGAGAAAUCUGUGGUAAUACCCCAUGAGGUUAUAUGAAUAGAGGCAUAUAAUCAAAGUAUACGAGAGUAUGCGGUAUGAGAUGGGCCUACUGACCAUUAGCUAGUUGGUGAGGUAAGGGCUCACCAAGGCGAAGAUGGUUAGGGGUUUUGAGAGAGAGAUCCCCCACAUUGGAACUGAGAUACGGUCCAGACUCCUACGGGAGGCAGCAGUAGGGAAUAUUGGGCAAUGGGCGGAAGCCUGACCCAGCCAUGCCGCGUGAAGGAAGACGGCCUUAUGGGUUGUAAACUUCUUUACUAUACGAAUAGAGGUUAGUACGAGAUACUAAUAGGAAGGUAGUAUAGCAAAAAGCACCGGCUAACUCCGUGCCAGCAGCCGCGGUAAU